GGCCGCGUAGCUCAAUUGGGAGAGCAGCUGACUCUUAAUCAGCGGGUUGGGGGUUCGAGUCCCUCCGCGGUCA
rnacentral:tRNA from 3 species